ensembl:Y_RNA Y_RNA Y RNA
GGCUGCUCCAAAGGUAGUGAGUCUCAAUUGAUUGUUCACAGUCAGUUGCAGAUCAAACUUUUUGUUCAGUUCUUCCUCCUCUUAUCACUGCUGCACUUAGCUAGUCUAAA